UACUCCCACUUUUCGUAUAAAUGAGCAGCUCCAGCACCUCCAGAAUUACGAAUAUGGUUUUAUAAAAAACUUUAAAAUGCUUCUUGUAGCUGUAAACUUUUAAAAAUAAAUUACUACCAAUUAGCUACAAAAUCCAAAGCAACUAGACUUGAUUUUUGUGCUCUACUGUAUAAAAUUGGCUUCUGCACUUCUACCUGUCAUAUUAAUACGAAAUCUUCUGUUUAUUUGUUGGUGCACUGUCGUUAUUAUCAGUGAAUUUGACAGCUUUCAACUUUACUGAAGCUCAUGUUGUGUCAACUUUGAGAUUUAAUAUAAGGUAGCUCCUAUGAAAAGCAUUCGAUAAGUGCAACUUUGGUACACAGAAAGCGAUCUGUCGCAGCAAUCGGCAAUAUGGCAUUCUCACAAACAACGCGAUAUCUUAACUUCAGCGCAAUAGAAGAAAAAGACAAUGUAGGCUGCAUGAAAUAAACAGGAAAGAAGUAUACUUGGGGAAUACGGUCAUCUCGGCUGAGAACUGCAAACACACCUAUUACAAGCUAGCAUUGAAAAGAGCACAAUGAAUUAGAGGAAACCAACAACAAGCCGGGAAACCGGAAGCUCUGCGAUUCAGGUUGCAGUUUUUUAUGGAAUAGAACAUUCAUCUCAAUAUAGUAAAUACUUUUAUUAUCUAUUUGAAGCGGAACCAAAUAUUAUAUCUAAUAUAAUCUUGUUGCUUAUUUCGAAGAGUUUAACCUAGUUUUCCCUCGCACACAUGACAUGAAUGAAAACGCAAUUUAUAAUUAAAUAAACAAUAUUUUAUAUGCGUUCCAGCUAAUAAAAUCUUGGAUUGCAUUAAUAAGAAAAAUCACCUCAAAAUUUAUAUAAAACAACGACAACCUGUCUAAUUAAAGCCCUGUAAAUAGAACCAUGGAUAUUAUAUGAAUAUUAGCAAAAUAUGAUUUAGAAAAUUUAUAAAAUGGUGGUUUUUAUUUUUCUUGCUUCAGCUUUUUUCAGCAAGAGUACGACACUCAAAAUCCCAACGGGCUUUUCGCGGUGAAUCAUAAUUGGUCUUAUUUCUCAUAUCCUAUUUUAACUAUUCUCUGAUAUUAAUUAUUAUCAUUUAAAUGCCUGAAAAGGAAGUAUCUCUCGUCCUCUCGUCUACAUAGGGUUAACAAUAUAUGUGUAUGGAAAGUUAGGUAGGACCAUUACACGCUACACAGCUUAUCAGCGGUGGAAAUCCAGCUAGUGAAAACAAUCAAGUAUUUAGUAGUUAAUCUCGCAUCCAAGUUAGCGUGGAAGCAUCAUAUCCAGGACCAAUAUCA